AGGAGUGCGGUGCGCAUGAAGAUAGGAUUUUCAAUCUUGAUAGAAAGGAGUAGUCCUAUGAGAUUUGAGAGGCUAAGAAUAAGAGUCUGUGGCCACAGUAGUGUGAUUGAUGAAAAAGAGUUUUCAUAAAAAUCAUAACUGGACUUGAGCUAAUCGAAUCUAUCAUAUGACGAUUUAUCCAUGACCUGCCAUCAAGUCGAGACUCAUGAU
rnacentral:lncRNA from 1 species